rnacentral:rRNA from 1 species
GACGUAGGGUCCAAGCGUUGUCCGGAUUUACUGGGCGUAAAGAGCGCGUAGGCGGUCCGUUAAGUGUAGAGUGAAAGCUCCGGGCUCAACCCGGAAAUUGCUCUGCAUACUGGCGGACUCGAGGACGGAAGAGGUUUGUGGAAUUCCUGGUGUAGCGGUGGAAUGCGCAGAUAUCAGGAGGAACACCAAUGGCGAAGGCAGAUCUCUGGGCCGUAACUGACGCUGAGGAGCGAAAGCAUGGGGAGCGAACAGG